ensembl:snRNA
GUGUUGUCUGAAAGAAGGUUAGCACUCCCCUUGACUAGGAUAAAAGAGGCCCUCGGGUCUGACAAACAUGCAAAGGGUUAAUUUUUUUUUUUUUUUUUUUUUUUUUUUU